UGUUCCACGACUUUUCUAUCUCGCCUCUCUUUCUUCUCUCUCCUUCAUUUCAGUUUCCCUCUUGCCUCUCGCCUCUCGCCUCUUCAUCAAUCUUCUCUUCUGUGCCGCCUCUAUUUCUUCUCUUAUCUUCUCUGUCAAUUUCUCUUCAUCAAGAAGGACCAGAUCGAUGGCCAAGUUCAGAUCGGUUGUUUUCAUCAAUUCUCUUCUCUGGGUCAUCGGGUUUCGUUUGAAAUCUGAGUAUGGUGCCAUGGUGGUUGAAGUCUGAGCACGACCUCCGCCACCACCGCAAGGACCAGAUCAAUCUAUUUUUCUGAGAUAUUGGGUAUGAUGGUGCAUGAAGAAUCGUACUUGAUCUGAAGGGCAUGGGUUAUCAUGAUGUUGAUGACUUUGAUUAUACUUACAAAGCAUGUUCUCGAUGCGGUGGAAACAACAAGAAGGAAGAUGAGGGGCAGGGUAACAACUAACAAGAAGGCGAGUGCUAAAAUGUAAUCAGAUUACAAAUGUUGCUUCAAUGUUGUCAUUCAAAGGAAGUCCUUAUUGGAUGGCCCCCGAGUCAUGAAUUUUGUGAGGCUGUGCUUGCAAUGGAACCCAUCUGAGCAUGCUACUGCUUCUCAACUGCUAGACCACCCUUCCAUUAGAGAGCAAAUGACAACAAGAAGUUCGAACUAGUUAUGGUGUUGAAAACUAUAGGUUUGUGGAUAUGAAGCAAGCUGAUCCAUAGGGAGAUAUUCUGAAAUGGGAACUUCCCAAAUGGGAGAAAAUGUCCAAUGGCCUUGAUAAGGCUCCAACGGCCUUGUUUUUUAAUGUUAAUGAUUAGCUCUUUUAAUUUUUUUUA